rnacentral:tRNA from 1 species
GCAUCAAUGGGGUAGUGGUAACCUGGGUCGUUGCCAUGCCAGCAAAGAUGCAUUCUUCAAUUUGUCGACCCGCCGGGGGUUCGAUUCCCUGUUGAUGCA